ACGAUCUAUAGCUGGUCUGAGAGGACGAUCAGCCACACUGGGAUUGAGACACGGCCCAGACUCUACGGGAGGCAGCAGUGGGGAAUUUUGGACAAUGGGCGCAAGCCUGAUCCAGCCAUGCCGCGUGAGUGAAGAAGGCCUUCGGGUUGUAAAGCUCUUUCAGCCGGAAAGAAAUCAUGCUUACUAAUACUAAGUGUGGAUGACGGUACCGGAAGAAGAAGCACCGGCUAACUACGUGCCAGCAGCCGCGGUAAUACGUAGGGUGCGAGCGUUAAUCGGAAUUACUGGGCGUAAAGCGUGCGCAGGCGGUUUUUUAAGACAGAUGUGAAAUCCCCGGGCUUAACCUGGGAACUGCAUUUGUGACUGGAAGGCUAGAGUACGGCAGAGGGGGGUAGAAUUUCCACGUGUAGCAGUGAAAUGCGUAGAUAUGUGGAGGAAUACCGAUGGCGAAGGCAGCCCC
rnacentral:rRNA from 1 species